rnacentral:rRNA from 1 species
AUGGAGAACCACUACGAGGAGUUCGAGGUUGAAUCCGGGGACUCCGACUUGGAGCUCGGGCGUGAUGGGGUCGCUGAUAAGGAUAACAACCACAAGGUUGUGGAGAUUAAGUCGUUAGCUGCCGUCAGGAUGUCCCUGUCCAAAGAUGACUUAAGCACCAUGACUACAAAUGGUGUUGAUGGUUCUGCACAAAGGUCAGCAAAGAGGAAGAGUAAGAACCAAUUCAUGGGUAUCCGGCAGCGCUCCCGGGCUAGGUGGGGUGCGGAAAUUAGAGAUCCUAUCAAGGGUGUCCGUCUCUGGCUUGGUACUUUCAACAGUGCUGAAGAAGCUGCAAGAGCUUAUGAUGUUGAAGCACGCAGGAUCCAUGGCAAGAAGGCCAAGAUUAACUUUCCAGAGGAACCAAAACUUCCUCAGAAGAGUCGUGCUCCCCCUGCUUCUCCCAAAGUACCCAAGCCAAGUGCAGCACAGGAACAUAGUUUCAUACCAGCAUUCAACAACCUUGUCAACCAAAAUGCUUUUGUCUACCCAUCUGCUCACUUUGCAUCAAAGCAGCCGCUUGUUCAGCCUGAGAAUGCGCCAUUUGUUCCUCCAAUGAGCACUAUUGCCCCUGUUGAAGCUCCUGUUAUGAAUAUGUACUCUGACCAGGGAAGUAACUCCUUUGGCUUCUCUAAGUUGGGUUGGAAGUAUCACACCAAGACUCCUGAUAUAUCAUCCAUUGCUCCCAUUUCUACCAUUGCUGAAGGAGCAGAACCUGUGCUUGUCAAGAAUAACACCCACAACUCAUUGGCGCCUCCUAUUAUGGAGAAUAAUGUUGUCAAUUUCGAACCUUGGAUGAGAUAUCUUAUGGAUGAUAGCGUGGAUGAGAUGAUUGAUAGCCUACUUAAUUUUGAUGUGCCUCGGAAUGUCAUUAGCAACAUGACCUUUGGAGCUUCGAUGCCAUGCCCAUCCGUGGCCAAUUUUUCUGUGGGAAGCAAACCUUGUAUA